CCCUAUUACGUUCGUAAUAAAUCUAUUACGGAAAAAAAAAUCUGUUACGUUGUUACGCCGCUCACCAAUCUAUUACGUUUUUACGAUACAGCCAAUCCAACUAUUUAAAAAUUCAACUAUAAUAAAAAAAGUUGAUAAACUGGCUUUUAAAAUGUUCAUUCCACAUUUUGUGUAUAAUAAAUUAAUUAUUGCACGUGUAUUGCACGUUGACCGAAUUGGAGCCACUGCCGUCUGCUGUGAGUAUUAUAACCUUAUAUCUCUGGUAUAACCUAACAUUUUACAAGAAAGAACCAUAGACAAAGAAAUAAAAUUAUUUGUUUCUUUGUCUAUGGAAGGAACUGUGAAGGAAAGCGGGGAACCGGGGGGAACACCAAAAAAGGGGAAUCACUAACCAGUAACCACUAACCACCAAAGUGGUUAUCUACAUCUGGUGUUUCCAAAAUAGAUGCUGCAAAAUCUGCAGAUCCUCCCAUUAUUACUGCUUCUGUUCGUCCUACAUCAGAACAUAGUAGCUGUUCAGACUCUCGUAUAGCAGGCCCUAGAAGCCAGCCAGAUUCCCCUAUACAAAACUCCAGCAGUCAGCCAGAUUCUCCUGUACCAGGCCCUAGUGGGAGGCGGCAUUCCAGUAUUACAGACUCGGAUUCUAGUAGUGAUGAAUCCACUGGCACAAAAGCUGUUUUAAAAAGGCGAAAAGUAACUACAACCAGUUAUAAACAAAAAUUUCGGGAUAAAUGGUGUGAAGAUAAAAGAUAUGCAAAUUGGUGCAAAUCAUCAUCGGAUGGAAGUUCAGCAUUCUGUACUGUUUGUGACAAAAAAAUAAUUGGAGGAAUUACUCAUAUAAAAAGGCACAGUAUAACGUUACUACAUAAAAAAAA
rnacentral:misc_RNA from 1 species